rnacentral:rRNA from 1 species
UACGGAGGGUGCAAGCGUUGUUCGGAAUCACUGGGCGUAAAGGGCGCGUAGGCGGACAGUUAAGUCAGAGGUGAAAGCCCAGGGCUCAACCCUGGAAUUGCCUUUGAUACUGGCUGUCUUGAGUGCGGGAGAGGUGUGUGGAACUCCGAGUGUAGAGGUGAAAUUCGUAGAUAUUCGGAAGAACACCAGUGGCGAAGGCGACACACUGGCCCGUAACUGACGCUGAGGCGCGAAAGCGUGGGGAGCAAACAGG